UUUUAUUUUUUGUAGCAAUAGGGUCUCCUUGCAUUGACCAGGCUGGUCUGAACACCUGGGCUCAAGUGAUCCUCCUGCUUCAGCCUCCCAAAGUGCUGAGAUUACAGCUAUAAACCACAGUGCCCUGCCGGGAUGGAAUUUAAAUUUGUCCUUUUCUGCUUAUCCCAAUUUCUUUUUCCCCACCUUUGCCUAUCUGUCAUCUAACAAUCUGUAACUCAAAUCUCUUCAAAGCUGUGAACUUUCCUUUUCCUAUGGGAAACUUUCUGAAAGUAAAGUCUCAGAGUGGGGACUGAAGAAAACCAAAAUAUUUUGCCCCAAAAUUAUUUCCUUGACAUGGCUGAAGACAGUUACUCAGAAGGACUGGAAAUAGAAUAGCUAAAAAGCUGUCUUUUGUGGGGGAGAUUUGCAUCUGUAGCGAGAAUCUACACUGAUGAGGCUAGGCCUUCUCUGAGGCCUCCCCUUGCCUGAUGUAGAAGAGUAACAGAGUCUGACACCUUUAAAGGUCUGAAGGGAACAUUCAUCCAUUCUCUCUGAGGGCUGCUACCUGUGAGGUUUCAUCGAUAGAACAAGGCCACCUUUGCCAGCCAGGCCUCCUCUCCUCUCCCUCCUGUAACUGGUCUUGCCGCUGUAACCUGAUUUUCCACCAUAACCUGUUUAUGGCCAUGCUUUGAGUCCCCGUUCUUUCUUUAACCUCAAGAUGGUAUAUAAGCUUCUGAAUCCCAUUGGGAGGUUGGGGUCAUCACUCUGGUUCUCACUGUGUGUAUGAAUAAAUCUGUAUGCCUUUUGUCUUAUUAA